AUUGAACGCUGGCGGCAGGCCUAACACAUGCAAGUCGAGCGGAUGAAGGGAGCUUGCUCCUGGAUUCAGCGGCGGAUGGGUGAGUAAUGCCUAGGAAUCUGCCUGGUAGUGGGGGAUAACGUCCGGAAACGGGCGCUAAUACCGCAUACGUCCUGAGGGAGAAAGUGGGGGAUCUUCGGACCUCACGCUAUCAGAUGAGCCUAGGUCGGAUUAGCUAGUUGGUGGGGUAAAGGCCUACCAAGGCGACGAUCCGUAACUGGUCUGAGAGGAUGAUCAGUCACACUGGAACUGAGACACGGUCCAGACUCCUACGGGAGGCAGCAGUGGGGAAUACUGGACAAUGGGCGAAAGCCUGAUCCAGCCAUGCCGCGUGUGUGAAGAAGGUCUUCGGAUUGUAAAGCACUUUAAGUUGGGAGGAAGGGCAGUAAGUUAAUACCUUGCUGUUUUGACGUUACCAACAGAAUAAGCACCGGCUAACUUCGUG
rnacentral:rRNA from 1 species